CACCCCAAACACGUCCUUAUACACGUCACCACUCAAAACUCUCUUAUCCUACGCAUCUUCCGUUCACAAUAGCAUACCAAAGCAAUACAGUCUGCGCAAUAUAGAUGGCGGCUCUCAUUACCGCGCCUUUAAUCAGACUCCACCGAGACUUGUCGAUUUCAUGACAUGUCCACGUCACAGUUCUUGUCUCUUAUCUUCAUCGUCCCUAACUUUUUGCCAUUUCUAGGGUUCCUAGCAAUUUCGCUUCAAACACUUUCGUCACCUUUCUCUCUACUAUUUCUGAGAUUGAAAUUUGAAUUUCCUUAGCUUCCGACGAUGGGGUCGGUCCCCGAUCCAGGCGAGUUAACCGAGCUAGCACAGCCGAGUUUCGACAAGUUUUAGAAGCAGGCGUCGUUGAUGACGAGCUGCAGUCUUAUGUGGAAGGAUCUCACCGAUCACUUCACUACACUGGAGCAGAACCUGAUGAAAAAAUCAGAGGCGCUGAAGAAGAUGAUUGAAACCCUAGACAACCAGACUCAGACCUCGCUCGAGUCACUCAAGCGUAGAGAGGUGACAAUCGACCGCAGCGUCGAGAUCGUCGCUGAGAAAGUUGGGAAACGCGUCAGAGCUGCUCUGGAGUCGCUUGAGAAAGCUAGAGACGGCGGCGAUGACGACGACAGUGAGGUUGACGAGGAUGAUGAGGAAGGGCUUCUCUCUGCAUUGAAGUCUCUCUGUUGGAAGAUGGACGCUAGAGGAUUCUGGAGCUUCGUGACGGCGAGGAAGAAGGAGCUUGAGAAUCCCCGGUCAAAGAUUCCGGCGGCGUUGGGGGACUGUGUGGAUCCGGCGAUGUUGGUGCUCGAGGCGAUCUCUGAGGUUUUCCCGGUGGAGAAAAGGGAGUCUGGAGAGAAGAUGAUGAACGAUUUCGCAUGGGCUUGUGUGGUGAUUCUGGAAAGUUUAGGGCCUGUGAUGGUGGAUCCGGUGAUCGGGAAGUCGCGGUUGAUUGUUACUCCUAGCGUUAAGGAGAAGGCUGAGGAGGUGGCGGAGACGUGGAAGGCGAGUUUGGAGGAGAGAGGGAGGGUGGAGGAUGUGAAGACUCCUGAUGUCCAUACGUUUCUGCAGCAUCUUGUGAUGUUUGGGAUUUUCAGAAGUGAAGAUCUUGGUCUCUACAGAAAGCUUGUUGUUGGUUCCGCGUGGCGUAAACAGAUGCCGAAGCUUGCUGUUUCGGUUGGUUUAGGUGAUCAGAUGCCAGAUAUGAUCGAAGAGUUGAUCAGCAGGGGACAUCAACUUGAUGCUGUUCAUUUUACUUACGAAGUUGGUCUUGUGGAUAAGUUCCCUCCUGUUUGCUCAAAGCCUAUCUAAGGGACGCAAAGAAGACAGCAGUGGAGGACUCCAGCAACACUGGCCGACCUUCGAAUCUUGUGGCGCAAAAGGAGCAAUCAGCUCUCAAGGCGGUAUUGAAGUGCAUAGAAGAGUACAAACUCGAAGAAGAGUUCCCUCCAGAGAACCUCAAGAAGCGUUUGGACCAGCUGGAGAAGACUAAAACCGACAAGAGAAAACCAGCAGCUGUACCAGCAAACAAGAGAACCAGAGCCAGCUACAACGGUCCAAUGCCACCAGCCAACGUAUCACAAACGCAUACGUCUCUUCCUUCCCCUUCAUCAGAUCACCCUCUCACUCACCUCAGUACGCUUCACCAUCAGCUUACCCAUCCCCACCUGUUACUGUCUACAGCAACAGAAGCCCACCUUAUCCAUUCUCGCCUGAGCUUAUCCCGGGCUCAUACCAAGCUCACCUAUCGGUUAUCCAGCGUACAGCGGUUAUUACAACGGUCCGGUUCCUGUUACUGCCCCAGCUCCUCCGGUUUACCACCCACACUACCAUCAGCAGCAGCACCACCAACACGCUCACCAUCCGCAAGCUUACUACUGAAUUUAGAGAAAUCAAGAAGGAAGGAUGGUAAUAACCAACAACCACUGAUACCUGUGACAACUACUCUGGUCUACUCUCUGCGUCUGCAUCUUUGUCUAUCUACGUUUUGUUGUAAUAUUUUCGAAGCCUAACUCCUUUUAGUAAGUUAGCUCUCCUUUUCUGUUGUGUGUUUAUUAGUUUACCUAUAAACAAAACCCUUCCUUGGGAUGUUUUGUCCACAAACUCAUCUUUCUAUUAAUUAAAUGAAAACUUCUCUUUGUCACAAACCUCUCUCUUACAUUCGUCCCUGUCUUUACAGACAUCCUAAACAGAGCUCACAAGUCGAAAACCAUUCUGGUUCUUUUGAAAGGUCGUUGCUUUGAAUCUCUUUCUUGAACAAAUCGAUGUCACCAUUCUACAGAGCUGCAAGACCCAUCAGUUUCAAUCAAUUCGCUAAAACCAACCUUGCACACCAGUUGUUCGACGAUUUGUCACAAACAUUGGUUGCAUAUCAUUGACAACCUUGCAAACGAACCUCAAGAAGGUAAGCUUUGUGCAAACCUUAAAGCUGUAUGGCACAAUCAAGACAUAACAAACUCGAAUCUAACAUGGUAGGACAACAAACUCGAAUCUAACAUAGUAUCAAGGUUCAGAUCCUAGUUAUGCUACAUCCCUAAUUAAUAUAAUCUUAAUCUAACAUGGUAUCAGAGCCAUGUUCUAAAUACACUAAACUCCUAAUUAAUAUAACUCUAUCCGACCGGGUAUAAAUGUCGUAAUUAUGUUAAUUAUUAUCAUAAGUUCCGAGAUUUCUGGCCGAUAAAAGUCAUCAUCUCGUGGAGGGGUAUUAGGGAUAAGUAUCCUACGUCGAGAAUUCAAUGGGACUUUAACUAAUAUAUAAAGGUUAAGGCCAAUCCACUAACCACAAAUUAGUUUUAAGUUAGAAGUCUAAAAUAAAGCCGAAUCUAACAUGGUAUCAGAGCCCAUAUCCUAAAUAUGCUAAACCCCUAAUUAAUAUCACAUUUCCGACCGGGUAUAAAAGUCGUAUUUGACCCUCUCAACCAGGUAUAACUGUCGUACUAAAACUCGCUCAACCGAGUAUAAAUGUCUUAAAGUUCUGAGAUUUCUGGCUGAUAAGAACCAUCAUCUCGAGGAGGGGUAUUAUAUCCUACAUCGGGAAUUUAAUGGGACAUUGACUAAUAUACAAAGGGUUAAGGCCAAUCCACUAAUUACCAAUUGGUUUUAAGUUGGAAGUCCAUAAUUAAUCCGAAUCUAACAUGGUAUCAGAGCCCAGAUCUUAAAUACCAUGAACCCCUAAUUAAUAUAUGAACCUUCCGACCGGGUUUAAAAGGUCGUAAUUAACUCGCUCGACCGAGUAUAACUGUCUUAAAGUUCCGAGAUUUCUGCCCGAUAAAAGUCAUCAUCUCGAAGUUAGGAUAUUAUAUCCCACAUCGGAAAUUCUAAGGGACAUUAAGUAAUAUAUAAAAGGUUAGGGUCAAUCCACUAAUUAACAAUUAGUUUUAAGUUGGAAGCCUAUAAUUAACCCGAAUCUAACAUGGUAUCAGAGCUAUGUUCUAAAUACAUUACAUCCCUAAUUAAUAUAACCCUAAUCUAAUAUGGUAUCAGAGCCAUGUUCUAAAUACCCUAAACCCUAAUUAAUAUGACCCUUCCGACCGGGUGUAAAAGUCGUAUUUGACCCUCUUGACCGGGUAUAACUGUCAUACUAAAACUCGCUCGACUGAGUAUAAAUGUCCUAAAGUUUCGAGAUUUCUGGCUGAUAAGAACAAUCAUCUCGAGGAGGGGUAUUAGGGAUAUGUAUCCCACAUCGGGAAUUUAAUGGGACAUUGACUAAUAUAUAAAGGGUUAGAGUCAAUCCACUGAUCACCAAUUGGUUUUAAGUUGGAAGCCCAUAACAAAUCCGAAUCUAACAUGGUAUCAGAGUCCAUAUCCUAAAUAUCCUAAACCCCUAAUUAAUAUAACCCUAUCCUACCAGGAAUAAAGGUCGUAAUUAACUCGUUCGACCGAGUAUAAUUGUCUUAAUGUUUCGAGAUUUCUGGCUGAUAAGAGCUAUUAUCUCGAGGAGAGGUAUUAGGGAUAUAUAUCCCACAUCGGGAAUUCUAAAGGACAUUAAAUAAUAUAUAAAGAGUUAGAGAUAAUCACUAAUCACUAAUUGGUUUAAGUUGAAAGCUCAUAACAAACCUGAAUCUAACAUGCUUCAAGCUAUCAUUGAUAAUGGUGUUAAUGUGUUAAGUGAAGCUUAAGCAGAGGAAACUGAAGAAGAAGACUAAUCAUCUUCUAAGAAUGCCAUAUGCAUAAAAUGUUUGCUUUUUAUUUUCAGUUCUGGUCUUUAGACAGUUUUUUUAAAUCUUCUUUAUGCUAUUUUGCAAGACAGAAACAUGUUUUGUUAUUUAAUCAUUAGAUAAUAUUGUCACUCUUCCAAAGAUAUACGGGGAAAAUGAAAUCAUGUAGACAAGCAUAGUUUAGAGAAAACAUAAUAACUUUUUGUGUAAAUAAUUAAGAGGUCACGAGCUCGUAGGUUCGUAUAUUAUUUUAGGAAAAUAAUUAUCACCUGAAUCUCUAUAAUAUUAUUUGAGAAAUAACUUUCAUACGUUUUGCACUCACGUUAAUUUUUACAAUGGUUAUUACAUUUAUACAGUUAAUGAAAUUAAAAUAUCAUCUAUUAAUGCCAUUAUUAAUAAAAUUUUAUUGAUUUAGCUUAAUAUUUUUCCUUUUUUAUAUUAGUAAAAAGUAAGUAAAAACGAAUUUACUUUUAUAUAAUUUCCUAUAUAAAAAGUUUCAUAUCUUUUCAAUUCCACAUUUUUAAAUUAAUUUAUUAAAAAUAAAAUAUUCUCUUUUCUUAAUAAAAAAGAAAGUAUGUCAGUUAGGAUUAUUUAAAAAUCCACGUUAAUUAAAUUGUUUAGGAUAUUAAAAAUCAUAUGAUCUCUCUCUCUCUCUCUCUCUCUCUUCUCUCUCUCUCUCUCUCUCUCUCUCUCUCUCUCUCUCUCUCUCUCUCUCUCUCUCUCUCAAUGAAAAGGAAACUAUGUUAGUUGAUAAUUUAAAUCAAUUUCCUUUUUUACAAAUUUUGAAAUUAUUGGAAUUAAAUAUUUUAUUUUAUUUUUUUUCAAAUUACGUAGUUAGUUAAUUAAUCACUAAUCUAUUUUUGAUAAUCAUACAGUACCCUAUUAAUUUCUAAAUAAAUAUCUUCAUAAAGUUUUUAUAUUUUACUUUAAUUAUAAACUCCUAAUCCUAUUAUUAUUUGAGUGUUCCAAAAAUCUAUAUUAAUUAAUAAUAUUAUUUGAGAAGUCACUUUUCUACGUGUCGCGGUCACUUUUCUACGUGUCGCGCUCACAUUAACUACAUUAAUAUCCUUAUUGAAAUUAAAAUAUUAUCUAUUAAUGCCAUUAUUAAUAAAAGUUCAAAGAUUUUGCUUAAUAUUUUUAUUUUUGUUAUAUUAUUAAAAAAAAAAGUAAAAACGAAUUUAUUUUUAUAUAAUUUCCAAUUGUAUAAAAAAUUUCAUAUCUUUUCAAUUCCACGGUUUUAAAUUAAUUUUUUAAAAAUUUUAAAACAAAAUAUUCCAUUGAUUUGUUUCUACGGGAAUCUGUUUUUUUUUUUCUCACACAGAACUGUUUAUAUCAAUUUCCAUAGUUAAACUGAAGUCUGAUUAAAAAGUUUUUAUUACUAAUGAAGAAGAAAAGCAAAAAAAAAAAUCGAAAAUAUUAUUUUAAAAAAGUAUCCAAAACAGUAAACAGUUUAAUUAGAUUUUUGCUCUUUGUUUUUUCAAACCAAAGAAACAUUUGAGUGUUUAGACUAAUAAAUUUGAUUAAUAGGAUUAUUUUCACUAUAAUUAUUAAGUUUUUAAUAUAGUGUCAUAUUUAGAUUACACAGUUUUCAUCAUAGGCCCAGACUUAAAAAAAAAAACAAAUUUCUCAGUUUUUAGAUUUUGUUACUCUACGAAAUUAUUGAAAAAUCAAAUCUAUAUAUAUAAAAAAAUGUUUGCAUUUCUCCUGUGUUGCCACCUAGGAUCCAGGUCAGAAAGUCGAGGUCCGUAGUGUCUACACGUGUUCCGGCCACAAAAAACGCAGCAAUUCAUUUAUUUUCAUAUCUGUUGGGCUUUUAACGCUAAGUUUAUAUAUUCAAUGUUUUUGGGCUGAUAAUUCGUAUGGUUAAGUUGGCCCGACGCCCUGUAAACAGAAACCCUAAUUCUAAUUUCGCGAGGAAAUGGACUUCGUCAUCUUCGUUUUACGGCGACUCGACAACGCCUAAGCUUCUUCCGAAUCUCUCUGAGACGGUGUGAGUAAUGGUUUGUUCGUGUUUAAUCCCAUUAAUCCUUUCUCUCUUUUUUUACCUCACAAAGAUUGAUCACGUGAGCGCACAACUCAUGUAUUCAUUUUCUACGCUUUCAUGGAGAAUCGAUUUCUAGGGUUGCCACUGUUCUUAAACAAUUGUCGUUUAAAACCGACAAAGAAGCUCCGGCUGGGUUACAGGGAUGAGUAUUUCCUACCAAUCUAUGGUGGUAGCCGCUGUCUAUGUGGAAUCGCCUGGACCGUUACAAAACUCUACUGCAUUCAGUCAUCGUCAUUAACGAUCUCAUUAAUACAGAUUCCCCACUCCUCUCAUGAUGUUUGCCCUUCUCGCUUCCAUUGUGCAAAUCUACAACUAUAAAUAUAGAUUAGGAUGACAAACUCUUCACUCCUGCUCCCCAAUUUGAAAGCCAGGUGUUGUAACUCCACUGUUAAAGUUCACUGGUGAAUGUCUCGGAGGUUCUGGUUAAGAAGAAUUCAAAACUUCCCAAACAGUAAGAAUUGACCUCUAUGAUUUGCUUGUUCACUUAGCUUAGGGUUUUGGAAGAGUUGACAUUAUUCUUUGAUUUGAUUUCUGGGCUGUUAUUAGUUUUGUUCAUGUUCAUUCUUGGUUUUGGUCCAUUGUAAUUGAAGAAACACUUCAAUUAUGUUCUUCACACUUCAUAGUCUGGUCUCUGAGCCUUGGCACUUGAAUCUUCUUAUAUCUGAGUGAAAAAUGACACAUUUAUUUUAUAUUUUUAAAGUACAAAAGAGUUGCUUAUAUAUAGGUUGUUAAGAAAGAUGAAGAUGUGAAAGUUCUUGCAAUGGUGGGGGAUGAGGAUUGGUUGCCUCCACCGGCAAAGGUUAUCUUCACUAAAAUUAUCUCAAUAAUAUCAAAAAGUCCGCUAAAGAUUUCAGCCAUUACAUCAUUGAAGUAGUUUUGUAUGUAUAUGCUUCCCAUGUUUUCUUUUAGAAAGGAGGUUGGAUGACAUCAUGUUGCAGUUCUAGAAUAUUGAUGUCAUCAGAAUUAUUAGCAGUGUUUUUGGCCAGAGCAUAGCUUUGAAUUACUAAUUUACUAUGGCCGGCAGGUAGCAAUCACAUAUCAGUUUGUUCCUGUUAGGUUGAUGGUAUGGUAGCAAUUUGCAAAGUUAACUGAACAAACCAUGGGAUGGAGAAAAUAGGAACGCUUACAACGGACAUGAAGAAGCUGUUCCAGUUGGAGAUUUUUCACUAAAGCAACUCCAAACGAAGAGUUUCUAAUUUGUUUUUAGUGUGUUUUAUCAUUUUCUUUUCCUAGGUGAAUUUGUAAGCAAGAGUUUCAUAUAUGACUUGCUGCAACCGUAAAAAUUGUGUUUUUACUUUUAUGCGUCAAUCUUUUAAUAAUACAAUAAAAGGGUCAUGUGCUAA